rnacentral:misc_RNA from 1 species
GAAAUGCGAUAAGUAGUGUGAAUUGCGGAAUUCGUGAAUCAUCAAGUUUUUGAACGCAAAUGGCGCCGAUACUUGUAUUGGCACACCUAUUUGAGUGUUGGCUAAAAUCUUCUCAAUCUCCUCGAAGAUGAUAUUGAGAGAUGAUGAAUGUCUAUCUAUUCCUCGUGAUGAGAUAGUCAUUUUAAAUAGAUCAAUUGAAAACCUUUCACUGUGACUUGUAAUGAGAAACUUAAAAGUAAAUCAAUUCAUUAGAAUUUUGUUCUUUUCUUUUCAUUCUUGAUUAGAAUUGACAAUCAACCUCAAAUUAGGUGAGAGUACCCGCUGAAUUUAA